ACUUGGUGACGGAGAUCGUCCCAUGCCGUUAGCCCGAGGCAGUGCCGUACUCCUCGUGAACACGGACCAGCGGCGGUUGGACUGGAGCCAAAAGGCAAUGGGGAAGGUGAGUUGAUGUGGGCCUGUCUCGCAUUGACAGCUUAUAGCCCUGCUGCAUGGUGCUCCGGCCCGACCGAGGAAGUUGGGCAGCCCUUGCCCGUUGUGGUACACGCCGAAUGGCGGGGCCUCCCAACACGAGCUAGCCGUGCGGUGUGGACUGCAUGCAGUGCUCACCGUGGCGGUGAUCUCGUGGUGGAGAGUGCCACUUGUGUGCCAGUGCUGCUGGUAUUCAGAU
rnacentral:misc_RNA from 1 species